CCACCACCUCACUUCUCAAGCGCACUCUCUCUCUUCGCCUUCUCUCUUUCUCUCUCUAUUUGCCCCUCUCCUCUGUUUCCUGAAAACAAACCCUAAAAUUCCAAUUUUUAUUUCGAUUUUUCACCCCUGUUUUUAUUUUAUUUUUAUUUUUUAAAAAUAUUUUCUAAAGGAAAAAAAAACUUGCAGAUCCUCCUGUCUUCAAAAAAUUUCAUCUUCUUUCGGUUUCAACUAUUUAAAACAAAACCCUAGCCCGUAGGAUUCCGAUUUUUGUUUGGUUAUAAUUAUAAUAGUUUUUUAUUUUUGUUACUUUGAUGGUGCGUCAAUCGAACUAGGGUUUUUGGGAAUCUGAUUUUGACAUUUUUAUUGAAACCCUAGCUGUUUGGGAAUUUAUGUGAUUUCUUAAUAUCUAGGGUUUUGAGGGUUGAAAGAUUAGGGCUUUUUUUUCUUGAUUUAGAUGUUUGUAUGGAUUCAGGGACUUUAGGGACUAAUGAUAGUAAUUCCGAUUUGAAUGUUCGAGAGAGGGUUCGGUGGGGGGAUAAUAGCAAAGUCUAUACCCGAAGAAAUUUCAGAAAAAAGGCCCAAUUAGAAUCUGCAAAUAACGAUUCUGCCACCACUUCCACCACCGCUGCUGCCGAGCCGACCUCCACCGCCGCAGCAGCAGCCUCCACCGCCGGUGACACAGAGCCCACCUCUUCGAGCCCCGCCAAAAAUGAAUCUUUUGGCAAGAACGCGACUUUAGAGCUUUCCUCGGCAGAAACCUUAGCUGCCCAAAAUGGAAUUUGUUCGCAAGAGCAGCCGCAGUCGAGAUCCGAGGGCGAGCCCUCGACCUCAGACGUUGUUCGACCGCUGCCGGAGGAAGGCACCAGUGGCCAAGAGUUGUUGCCCAGUGGUGGAGAAGACCCGAUAUCUAAUGGUGACAGAGAAGACCAAGAGGUUCUGCCUGACGUGCCAGAAGCCGUGCCCAGUGGUGGUAGAGAAGAGCCUUCCCCGAGCAGUGGCCGUGAAGCUCUGCCUGAGAUGCAACCUACUGGUGGACAGGAACAAGUAUUGCCUAAUGGUGGAGAAGAAGAGCCGCCCCGGUGCAAUGGCCCAGAAGCUGAGCAAGAAGCCCUGCCGAAUACUGCUAGAGAAGACCCUCCUGAGCGAGAGCAAUCAGAGGUGGCAGCGCCAGUUGAUGAAGUACCAGAGGUUACUGGCAGUCAUGGGCCGGUGAAUGGUGCUGCCUCUGGGGCUUUGGUGAAUGGGUUUCGGAAGCCCGUUAUUACUAGGGUUGAUGAUAGGGUUAGGAUUAAUAUAACAAGAUCGAGAUCGAAGGAUGAGAUGAGGAAGCUUAAGAGGAAGCUAGAAAGCGAGCUUGAUCAGGUUAGAACUUUAGUUGGGAAGGUUGAAGCCAAGGAGCAUCAGCUUACUGCUUACAGUACAAGUAAUGUUAACACUAACUCUAGGUAUGUCGGUGGCAGUGUUGGUAAUUUUGGCGGUUAUAAUCAGCCACAGUUGUUGAGGGCAAAUUCGGAGGUUGGUACAUUGGGACAUCAAUAUAGUCGGCCACAGUUACUGAGGGUGAAUUCUGAGGCAGGUUCUGGGGGAUAUCAAGAAACAAGACCGUUUCGACACUUGAAUGUUUCUGUGAUGGAGAAUAAUCAUGGGGCGGCUGAAUUUGUUGAGAAGGAGAAGAGGACGCCUAAGGCUAAUCAGUAUUAUAGAAAUUCAGAGUUUCUUUUGGGGAAGGAUAGAUUGCCUCCAGAAAGCAAUAAGAAGUUGAAGCUCACUGCAAAGAAACAUGGAGGUGACUCAGAAUAUGGGUAUGGCUUUGGUUUUGAUAGGAAUAGAGAUAAGGUGUUCAAGAGCUGUAGUAAUUUGCUUCAGAGGUUGAUGAAGCACAAGCAUGCCUGGGUGUUUAAUGAACCAGUGGAUGCCAAGAAGCUUAAUAUACCUGAUUAUCAUAUUAUUAUUAAACACCCAAUGGAUUUUGGUACAAUCAAGACUAGGUUAGGUCAGAAUUGGUACAAGUCUGCCAGGGAGUUUGCUGAGGAUGUGAGGCUUGUAUUUCGUAAUGCUAUGACAUACAAUCCGAAGGGACAAGAUGUCCACACAAUGGCAGAAGAGUUGUCAAAGAUAUUUGAAGAUAGGUGGAUAGCUAUAGAGAAGGAACAUUUUCCCUAUCAGAUGUAUUAUGAUGCAGGAUUGCCUAUUCCCACACCAAGAAAGGCCCCUCCUCCUUCCUUUACUCAUAUUCCUGCCCCCAUUCUCGCUCCUUUUUCAAUCCCUCCUGCCCCUCCAAUGAGGACAUUGGAUAGGUCAGAGUCGAUGACUGUGCCUGUUGAUUCCAGAUUAAAGCCCACCUAUUCAAAUCUUCCUCACACAGGUAGAACACCGGUUCCAAAGAAACCUAAAGCCAAGGAUCCAAACAAACGGGAUAUGACUUAUGAGGAGAAGCAGAAGCUUAGUACAAACCUCCAGAGCUUGCCCUCAGAAAAGCUAGAUGCUAUUGUUCAGAUUAUCAAGAAAAGGAACACAACCCUUAGUCAGCAUGAUGAUGAGAUUGAGGUGGACAUUGACAGUGUUGAUGCAGAAACACUAUGGGAGCUUGAUAGAUUUGUCACCAACUACAAGAAGAGUCUAAGUAAGAACAAGAGAAAAGCUGAACUUGCUCUGAAAAGAAGAGCUGAAGCUGCACAGGCUGUUCCAACAACAAAUCCAAUCCCAGCAGUUGUGGAACCACAGAAAGAAAGUAAAGGAGAUGAGAAGAAUAGUAGUCCUGUUGUUGAAGUCGAAAAGCAAGGUGACAAUGCCAGUGGAUCUAGUAGUUCAAGCAGUUCUAGCAGUGACUCCGGCUCAACUUCAAGUGAUUCUGACAGUGAUAGUUCCUCUGCCUAUGGAUCAGAUGCAGGCCACUCGCCCAAAACUUGAAUGGUACCUAGCUGGAAAUAAGUAUUCUUCCAUGUUCAAAACAUGUCUACUCUACGCAAGCUUGAGUUGGUUUGUUGUGGCUGAAGCUUUUUCAGCAUGGACGAACCACAGCCUAUGUGUACCAGGAAUUGUGUCCAUAGGAAUCUCACAUUUGUUGUCUAUUAAAAUUUCAUAUAUGGGUGUUUAUCGGGGCUGGAAUCUAUCUGAUGAAUACUUCUAAAACUACUUCUGCCUCUGUUUUGGUGAUUUUGUCCAAGAUCUGUUAGAUGAUAUAUCUUGGCUGGCAGAAAUGGUGCCGCAUUGUUGAGACAUAUAGCUGAAGUGGGUUUCUUUUUGUUCUUGGCAUUUUCCAACGUUGAUCUGUUAAACCGGUCUCUUCAGUUAAGAAGAUUGUCUGAUGUUUUUAAUUGAGAGUGGUGCCAUGGAAAUAUAUCGAGAUACAGGUUGCCAACACUGCUACCAGUUUCACUUAUCAAGUCUCAAGGUAGGAUUUAUCUUAUAUAUUCGGAGUUUGGUUACUGUUUGAUUUAUUUAGGGGGGCUAGUGAUAUGGCUAGUUUAGGAUCAUUAGAGCUAGACCUGGAUGGAGGAACGUUUCAGGGCUACUUUUAGAGUAGUUUGAUGUGUAGACUGUAUUGCCUGCUCGGACGUGUUAUUGCGUAUUGUAUCAUACUACCAAGCUGUUAAAGUAGAAAAAAUAGUUUUUAUGUUAUCUUUGUACAGAUUUCAACUCGAAAGCACGUCUAGCCUCAAAACCCUUAUGUAAAUUAUAUUUGCAUCAUCAGUAUAUUGAGCGGGGUGAAAACAUUUAUGUGCGGUGUUUA